GGGUCAGUAGGUUGGUCGUGCCACCGGUACGUACUGGUCUCACUGAUUCCUCCUUCCUGAAGAAUCGUAAUGCCAUUAAUUUGGUGUUGCGGGGAAACAGGACUGUUACUUUGAAAACAUUAGAGUGUUUAAAGCAAGCUAACGCUUGAAUACAUUAGCAUGGAAUAAUGAAAUAGGACGAUCGAUCCUAUUUUGUUGGUUUCUAGGAUUGACGUAAUGAUUAAUUGAGAUAGUUGGG
rnacentral:rRNA from 1 species